rnacentral:rRNA from 1 species
AUUGAACGCUGGCGGCAUGCCUUACACAUGCAAGUCGAACGGCGCCAGGGGGGCAACUCCCUGGCGAGUGGCGAACGGGUGAGUAAUGCAUCGGAACGUGUCCUCUUGUGGGGGAUAACCAGUCGAAAGAUUGGCUAAUACCGCAUGAGCUCGAGAGAGGAAAGCGGGGGAUCGCAAGACCUCGCGCGAGAGGAGCGGCCGAUGCCCGAUUAGCUAGUUGGCGAGGUAACGGCUCACCAAGGCGACGAUCGGUAGCUGGUCUGAGAGGACGACCAGCCACACGGGGACUGAGACACGGCCCAGACUCCUACGGGAGGCAGCAGUGGGGAAUUUUGGACAAUGGGCGCAAGCCUGAUCCAGCCAUGCCGCGUGUGUGAAGAAGGCCUUCGGGUUGUAAAGCACUUUCGGACGGAACGAAAUCGCGCGGGUGAAUAAUCCGCGCGGAUGACGGUACCGUAAGAAGAAGCACCGGCUAACUACGUGCCAGCCGCCGCCGUAAGAC